rnacentral:sRNA from 1 species
CAGACAUCUAGGCUUGAUCUGAAAUGGGGGACUUUCUGGGAGGGGACAGAAGGCCCAGAAUACCUUCCAGUCAUGCCAAGUGGGCCACCCAGAGCCCCGUGAUUGCUCUACUCAUGGGUCUCCCUAACUCCUUCAUGGUCCUCGUCUGCCUAAGAAACCCAUUCUUCCACUCAGUCCUCUGAACCCCAGGAGGAAUGGCCACCCCUCCCCUCUCCUCUUCUUCUUCAUUUCUACUUCCCCCUCUUCCACCCUCUUCUCAGUCCCAGUCUCCCUCCACACUUCCAUCUGGGCCCCACUCCACAGUCCACAGCCCUCCACUCCCCCACAUUGAGCAGACUCUUGCAAACUCAAGCAAGAAUUCUCCCUCAUACCUUCCAGCUACCUUCAAUACAAAUUGGCAUUAGAUGAAUGAGUGGGUGGGGUGGGAGUGUGGAUGGGCAGGUUGGUGGAUGGCUAAGUAGGCAGCAGGAUAAAUGGGUUAAGUAAGGAAGAUUGGACAGAUGAUAGGCAGAGGGGCAGGUGGGCUGUAAGGCAGCCAUGGUCUUUUUCCAAUAUUGUGUCAUGGCCAACUUCUUCUGGCUGCUGGUGGAGGGCCUCUACCUGUACACCCUGCUUGCCGUCUCCUUCUUCUCUGAGCGGAAGUACUUCUGGGGGUACAUACUCAUCGGCUGGGGGGUACCCAGCACAUUCACCAUGGUGUGGACCAUCGCCAGGAUCCAUUUUGAGGAU